rnacentral:rRNA from 1 species
CCUACGGGAGGCAGCAGUGGGGAAUAUUGGGCAAUGGGCGCAAGUCUGACCCAGCAACGCCGCGUGCAGGAAGAAGGCUUUCGGGUUGUAAACUUCUUUUAUUAGGGACGAAGCAAGUGACGGUACCUGAUGAAUAAGCCACGGCUAACUACGUGCCAGCAGCCGCGGUAAUACGUAGGUGGCAAGCGUUAGCCGGAUUUACUGGGUGUAAAGGGCGUGUAGGCGGGAGUGCAAGUCAGAUGUGAAAAUUAUGGGCUCAACCCAUAGACUGCCUUUAACACUGUACUACUUGAGUGUAGGUGAGGCAGUCGGAAUGCCGGGUGUAGCGGUGAAAUGCGUAGAGAUA